rnacentral:rRNA from 1 species
CCUACGGGGGGCAGCAGUGAGGAAUAUUGGUCAAUGGACGAGAGUCUGAACCAGCCAAGUAGCGUGAAGGAUGACUGCCCUAUGGGUUGUAAACUUCUUUUAUAUGGGAAUAAAGUGUUCCACGUGUGGGAUUUUGUAUGUACCAUAUGAAUAAGGAUCGGCUAACUCCGUGCCAACAGCCGCGGUAAUACGGUGGGUCCGAGCGUUAUCCGGCUUUAUUGGGUUUAAAGGGAGCGUAGGUGGGUUGUUAAGUCAGGUGUGAAAGUUUGCGGCUCAACCGUAAAAUUGCAGUUGAAACUGGCAGGCUUGAGUACAGUAGAGGUGGGCGGAAUUCGUGGUGUAGCGGUGAAAUGCUUAGAUAUCACGAAGAACUCCGAUUGCGAAGGCAGCUCACUGGACUGCAACUGACACUGAGGCUCGAAAGUGUGGGUAUCAAACAGGAUUAGAUACCCCUGUAGUC